UCCAUCUUUUUUUUUGUUACAGCCGUUCACCUUCAUCUCCUAAAAAAAAAAGAAACAAGAACACUCACACACACAUGAACUCCUCCAUCUUCUUCACAAAGGUUUAUAAUCCAAACCAUACCCAUAAUAUGUGGGACAUACGAAGCCUAUAAAUACCGACACUCUCAGCCUACUCGACACCCUCACACCAUCACAACAUCUUUUCGCUCAAACCGCAUACUCGUCGGAGAAGCCGGGUCGUCACCGGAAGAACUUGAAGCUCGCCGGAGCCGUACGGAAUCCGACGGAACUCUUUUCUUUUGUUCGGACAUCACCUUCUCCUUUUGGUUCGCGCUGGUUCACGUCGGAGACAACCUAAGUUCGCAACGGGAACCAUUUCAUCGAUUCGGAUAACCGCUCUCGUUCGUUCUCUUCAAUUCCCAAUCUUUACUCGUGCGAUAAUUCAAGGAAUUCUCAUAUGCAUUCAAUGUUGAUGAUUGAUGACACUAUGAAAAUGGAUAGCGAAGAUGCCUAGAUACUUAUUUAGACGCCUUAAGUUUAAAUCGUUGUAUCAAUUUUGUUAUGUUAUGUUUGAACAAUGUUGUCAUUGAAUUUCCUUGUAUGUUUUAACAAUUUAUUUAUGAAAUGAAAUCGGUUGAAUUAAAUAUUGUCA